GCACUGCUGAGGAGUUCCACAAUAGGACGAAACGGCCGUUCAGUAC
rfam:Schistosoma mansoni strain Puerto Rico chromosome 2, complete genome